rnacentral:rRNA from 1 species
GAUGAACGCUGGCGGCGUGCCUAAUACAUGCAAGUCGAGCGAACGGACGAGAAGCUUGCUUCUCUGAUGUUAGCGGCGGACGGGUGAGUAACACGUGGAUAACCUACCUAUAAGACUGGGAUAACUUCGGGAAACCGGAGCUAAUACCGGAUAAUAUUUUGAACCGCAUGGUUCAAAAGUGAAAGACGGUCUUGCUGUCACUUAUAGAUGGAUCCGCGCUGCAUUAGCUAGUUGGUAAGGUAACGGCUUACCAAGGCAACGAUGCAUAGCCGACCUGAGAGGGUGAUCGGCCACACUGGAACUGAGACACGGUCCAGACUCCUACGGGAGGCAGCAGUAGGGAAUCUUCCGCAAUGGGCGAAAGCCUGACGGAGCAACGCCGCGUGAGUGAUGAAGGUCUUCGGAUCGUAAAACUCUGUUAUUAGGGAAGAACAUAUGUGUAAGUAACUGUACACAUCGUGACGGUACCUAAUCAGAAAGCCACGGCUAACUACGUG